rnacentral:rRNA from 1 species
GACGGAGGUUGCGAGCGUUAAUCGGAAUUACUGGGCGUAAAGCGCGUGCAGGCGGCAAGGUAAGUCUGAUGUGAAAUCCCCGGGCUUAACCCGGGAAGUGCACUGGAAACUGCUUUUCUUGAGUACUGGAGAGGAAGGGGGAAUUCCCGGUGUAGAGGUGAAAUUCGUAGAGAUCGGGAGGAAUACCAGUGGCGAAGGCGCCCUUCUGGACGGUUACUGACGCUGAGACGCGAAAGCGUGGGGAGCAAACAGG